CAAGUAAGAACCGGGAGAUCUUGUGAGCGUGCGCGCUAUUGAUGCUGUUAAAAACAUGCGUCGGCUCAUGCACAACAACACAGGCACGAGGUCCAUGUUGAGACAGAAUGAGGGUGAUACUGCAUGUGUCAAAUUUGUCCAUCCACGGUAAAGUAUUCCUUGAAAGCUGCGUGGACACAGCUGUGCGCGAGAUGAGUGGAACACGGAGAAAGAAGUAUGAGCCAUCUCUCAUGAAGUGGUCACUUGGUUCAUUCCUGAAUUAAUCAUGCUGCGUCCUAAUGUGACUACUUAUAUUACGUACUUAAAAUGAAUCAUGACUAACCAGAGUGGACAGCAUAUCUGCAGAUAAAUUAAAUAAAAGUGGGGAUAAUGGGCAUCCCUGCCUUAUUCCACGACCAAUCGAAAAUCUUUGUGUAGUACCAAAAGUGUAAGAGUAGGCAAGCUUUGGGACAUACUAUCAUGUCAUACAAUUGUGUCUUUAAUGGACCGCUCUGCCGCAUAGUUACAAGCACCCUGUCACUGUAAACAGGCCUGUCAAUCAUCUUGUCACAGUUAACAUCCUCCACAUCUCAUUUCAUUUAUCUUCAUACUGUAUUGGAGAGAAAUGAAGUAGCACGUUGAUCUGCCAGCCAUGGAUCUUUAUGCAGAGAUCUCUGCUCAUAUUUUUUGCAUAAUGAUGCAUUAAAAGUUAAUAGCUAAAAAGAUGUUUAUAAAAAUUCCCAUUAUUGUUGCAGAUGAAAUGCAACACAGAUAACAUUAUAUAUAUAU
ensembl:lncRNA